UGUGCUUUUUUUAGAAUACAAUAUUCAAAUAAUCUAGCUAGCUCGCUAGCUAGCUCGCUAGCUAGCUCGCUAGCAUACAGGCUAGGCAGUAAGAGAGUAGCGAGCUAGCAUGCAGGCAGUAAGAGAGUAUCACAGAUAGAAGAGGAAGAGGGAUUGGAAUCAAGGCACAUAGCUGCAGAACGGAAGAACCCAUACAGCAGCUUUAUCCAUCAGGGGAAAAGUGUGUGCUCUAAGUUUUUCCGAUUUCUCUUUGCUGCAGGAGGAGUCCAGUAUCUGGAGCUGUCGUUUGGAGCCUUGAUCAGCCCCUCAAAGAGGAGUCCAGUAUCUGGAGCUGUCGUUUGGAGCCUUGAUCAGCCCCUCAAAUGUGAUUCUCAAUGACAAGACUGGCUGCUUGACAAAUGAACGACUAACAUAGAGGGAGCUGGCCGAUCAUCUCAGUAAGAUUGGAGAGAGCAAAGGAACUCAUCUACGAGAUUGGUUCGUACGUGUACGUCAUCCAAACUGUUUUCAACAUAUGUACCUCCCACGUCUAUUUCUAAUGUACGCUCACUACCCCCAACAGAGAGUGGUGGAGGGUUGUCCUGGGGAAGGGACUAGACACACCCUCUCAUUAGUCGGCUCAGACUAUCAACGCCUCAACCGGUCGUCCUCAAGCUCGCUGACAGUGUCCAUGAGUCCAAGCAGCUCCAUUUCUAUUCACAAGUUAUGAAAAAUAAGUCUGCGACAGGUCAAAGGCACUCUCCUCCUGUGAAGUAUCCAGGAAGAACUGUCAUUUAGAGCGUCUGGACGACCAACGAGGGAGCUGGCCGAUUAUCUCAGUAAGAUCGGAUCGUAGCGAAGGAACUCAUGACCAGCUACAAAAUGGGUCAGCUGGUGAUGAGGAUGACUAUAAAAACUGGCCCCAUAGCAUCGACCUGGCCUUCCGUUCUAUAGCUAAGUGGGGAGCAAGCCCAGCAUACAUCCAGUUUGAAGGCCACUGGGGACCCUAUCACCAGCCAUUUCCGUUGAGUGAUUGGGAGCAGAGCAACGAUAUCGAAACAGAAAUAGAAAGUGAAUGACCUCGCGGUUUGUGAGAUGCUGUAUUUUGCCAAGGACCAGAACGACUAACACAGUUCACCAAGGUCAUCCUGCUCAAGAGGGAGGCGGACAUAAAGGCACGCUCUCACUUCACCAUUGUGAAGGUACGUAACCUCAAGUGGUUAGGGUUCAAAGUUCCCUUUGCCAUCGUGAACCAGGCCAACCAGUUGUACCCUCAUGCCGUCUCCCUCAUGGAGAGCAUUCGAACCUAUGAGCUCACAUGUCAGAAGAUUGACGCCCAUCAGGGUAUCUCCAAGCGUGUGAUGUACAGGAGCAGAUAGCUGGCAUGGGACUCGUACAAACUCGAGAACUUUGUUCAAGAAUGCAUAUUCAACUUCCAAGAGAGCCUUCACUGAUCGUAUUGAUGAUUUAGUGUGCUCACUAGAAUACAAAAGUGGACUAGAGAAAGUACAGAAGCUAGUGGUGGAUGAUCUCAACCUCCGCUCUUACUUGGCCUGGGUGGGCCAUCUAGACGGGAAGCUCAAGCACACCUGUCCAGUAAAUGUUUCUCCAUAGCAACGCCUUCUCAUGGAUCUGACCAAUCAGGUUGCGUAACACCAGGUGGAGGUAGCAGGAGUGUGGCUGCCCAGUUGCCCAGAUUGAGAGCGACAAAUGUCGAGAAAGAAGACUUACCAAUAAGAGAGAGUGAUGUACAGUUUGGAUUCAUUGAGAAUGACGCUAUUUUGAUGUGAGGAACCGAACUGGCAGUAUUCAAACAGUUACAGUCAAGAGAUGACCAUCAAGAGGCCUCUCUUCCAAUCAAACGCUACCAAGGUCACACACAGGAGGUGUGCAGACUCAGAUGCAGACUGCAGACAGUGUGCAGACUGCAGACGGUCAGCUCUUAGCCUCAGGUGGAGAUGAUAACAAGUGAGCUGGAUCUGAAUGUGCGUGCCCUAAGUCUGGUUAUGUCAGGGCUGGUGCUCCAGUCCAAGAUCAAUGUUGUUCACGUCUUUAAAGAGAAGAAGCUUUUACUUAAAGGUGACCUUCGACCUGACAAUGCUGCCAGCACACUCACAAUCUUUGAGGGCAAGUUCACACAAAAUUUAUUCGACAACGAAGCUCUGCCAAAUUUAAAACUUGGUACAAACACAGUGCUAUCCCAUUGGGGUAAGUAGACUCAGAAUAGCAUGUAUAUAGCUGGCUGUAAUCACACCCUGCAAGAAAGAGGAUAUACAGCUUGCCUAAGUUUCUUUGUUGACUCCCAACCUAUAAUGUGUGUAGAAAUCUAUAAUGAUUAGUGCAGCAAGGUGACCACUAAUGAAGUAAAGCGUACUUGUCAAGGGAUACAUGUCCCACCUCCUGUAAUUUAAUAAUCCCCUCAGUUUACUCUACAUGGUAGUAUGUACAAUUAUAGUAUUAUCCUAGGACCCAGCAUUAAUUGCCACACCCAUAAGUAUUAAACACUGUAUACAAGUCUUUUCUACUUUAAUGUAAAAGAUUAUUUCCCCUACUAACACUCUAUCAAAAGCGUUAGGUAUCUUUUGGGGAGACAACUCCAGAUCCCCUUGCAGGCGCACACGUAUUAGCUCACCCUCUAAGCUCUUUCUAUUGCAUAUAAGGGUAGAAUUAAAGCUUGAUUCUAAAUUGACUAAAAAACAGCAAGCAUGCAAUGAUAAAGGUAAAUAUAGUGGGGCUGCAGUCACCAAUUUACAUGGUAGAACCUCGCUCAUGGCAUCGAGCAAAUUCCCGAUUAGCAUGUUAUAAAUUUUGUAGAUCUUGUACCACAGUGUGUGUGUGUCUGUUCCAGCUGUAACUGCUCAACGGUUGCAAUGCGACAAAAACUAACAGCUUCUAUAGGCUUCUAGCCACGUUCUCUUGAAUUUUGAUUCGUGGAUUAGCAAAUUUUUUCUUGAGUUAUGGCUAGUUUGACUCACAUUAAAGGCUGUUGCAGUGUCUUCAGAAUCUUUCGUAGUAUUAUGAGUUAGCCUUGCACUAAAGCGCAGUCAGAAAAGAGCUGCUAAAGUGGUUUAGACACUAGUUGAUAAGAUCUACACGGGAAGUACAUGGGAAGUACAUGGGAAGUACAUGGGAAAAGUGCCUCAGAGCAGGUAUACUAUUAGCCUCCUUCACCGGCCUUCGAAGAGAAAAGAAGGCCUGCUAUCGACUGCUUACGCAUGCGCAAAAUUAUUGGUUAUUUUUUCCCGUAAAAUGUCCUAUAAUACUGAAUUUAUCAGAGGAAAUAUCCAAAAAGUCAUACACAGAGCUAUAUAGCUAGCUAGCUAGAGACAGAGCUGUAGGUUUGUUGUACAGCUAUUUUUCUUGCUGAUAGAGUCAGUAGCAGUAGCAUAGUAGACUUUCGCUAAAGUUAGUGUUAGAUGGGCGUGGAUGGGCGUGGCCUGUCCACAUACGCUCUUGUCAGCUUUCACUCCGUUCAGACGAUUGUCAUUCACACUGUUGCAGGCUGUGAGUCUUUUGUUAACAUAGCAGCCUAAGGGUAGCUAUCAGAGAAUACAAUCCGAUGGGCUAGAAACCUUCAAUCGAACUUUCUAACUACUUCCUUUGAUCCACUUCCGUUCGUUGUGAUGUCAUUGUUUUACUGAGCAUAAACGAUGUUAUCCAAAGCCCCCCAGAUACCGGGGGGAUAUUAGCGCAUGCGCAAGCAGUCGAUACCAGGCCCACAUCUCCAAUGAGAGCGGCCUGGAUUCGAGGCCAGUAUACUAUGGGACUUAGUAUACCUGCAACUUACUUAGUAUACCUAGUAUUCUGUUGUCAAGUAAUUGUACUGUAGUUAGGCCUCGAGGGCAAGGUUUGCGCAUGCGCACUAGUAUCUAAAUGAGUUAGACACUGUUUUGUCGGUGUCAAUGUGAUUUAGAAGCACUCAGCCACUUUAGUACCCUCGCUACGCUCGGGAUACUAAAUCAGUGCCUUUGGGCUUCUACCCAUAGACCCCUCCAAAACAGUGUCUAACUAUUAUUUAGUAACCAGUAAACUUGACUUCUUGCAGCCUUAUUACUAUGGAUCUGCCUUAUCCCCACAUGUGGGACAAUCAAGAUCUUGCUUAGUGGUUACAGUCUUACCCCAAACUCAAUUAGCUAUUCAAACAGGAGGAGUGCUUUAUAAGCUGGGAAUGUUGCACAGCAUAACAAAACUAUUAGCUGAACAUCAAGAUGCUCUCAAGCUUGCUACUUCGGUCCAGCUUGGACAAGAAAGAAAAAGUCAAUAAAGAUCCAAUCAUUGCUAAGAAAAUCGACUUGAGUAUCAGAACUAUUGCUCAGGUUGGCUGUGGAAAGGCCAGCUGCUCCUACUCAAUUGACAAAGAUGAACAAUGUCUAGUGUUUUAUGUGUCUUCACUCUUAGCUCACAGAGACAGCACCAGGCAGCAUCUCAGCGUUACUAAAUGUCAAGUGUUGUCGAAAGAAUCGACGGGAAAGCAGAACUGUCAAACACUCACCGUCUCGAAGCUGACCACCAUUGAUGGGACCAAGUCGCUACCAACCUUGGCACUCACAAAGGAACUUCAUGCAUCCACACUCGCAUUGCACGCUGGAGCUAUUUCUGCGGAGGAUCUACUCCUGCAUUUGGGCUCAGUCAAGGCUGGAACAAUGCUGGAAAUACAAUUAGACUUCGUUCUUAAAUUCACCCUCCCAAGUUCUCCAGACUCACUACAGUAUGUCUUCACCAAUAAACUACCCGCCCAUCACCUCUGCUACAACGUUAGUUUAGCUACCACGCUACCCAUUGAAGACGUGACACCUUUACACACCAUCUCCAAUCCGAACGAUUUUCGAUGGAACUAUAUCGCUGGUUCCUCCUGUGUGGUUGAGAUCCAGUACGAAUGCAAGCCACACUCCGACAAGGCUACGGGACUCACAGUGCAGCUGGUUGCAGCACCCUCGCCAUCAGGUUGCUGUUCUAUUUCCUACCCCCAAGACGCUACCAAGACCAGGGGGGGUUGUAAUUUUAACUUGAGAUGCGAUGGUUUAAUGAUGAUGAACAGUUGUCUAACUCCCGAUGCAUUCCCAGCCUCGGUGAAAGACAAGCAACUUCAUCCAUCUGAGUUCAUAUUUGUGGUGGACUGUAGUGGCAGUAUGAGCGGCAGCAACAUCCAAUCAGCGUCUGAUACUCUCAUCACAUGUAUCAAGAGUCUGCCAGCAGGGUCCUACUUCAACGUGAUCGCAUUCGGAUCCAAUUUCAGACACCUAUUUCACACAAGUUCAGAGUACACGAAGUGGUCGGUGGAGAAGGCCAUUAAAUUUGCAAACGAGAUUCAAGCCACCCUUGGAGGGACUGAGCUGCUGGACCCACUGCGAUGGAUCUUCAAACAGGGGAAGUGCGGGAGCCUGGCCAGACAGAUCUUCAUAGUGACCGACGGAGGAGUGAACAGCACUGCACAUGUUCUGCACACUGUCCGAAAGAACAGACAUCAAGCUAGGUGCCACACAUUUGGUAUAGGGCCUGAAGUUUGUACAGAGCUGGUGACAGGCAUUGCAGCUGCCUCUGGUGGUCAGUGUGUACUGCUCAGAGACACGGAGAGAUUACAGACAAAGGUAAUGGAAGUUCUGAGAGACAGCCUGGAGCCGUAUGUAUUGGACUCAUCGCUGCAAUGGUCACCUCCUGAAGGGUUUUCCCUUCUUGAAACCACACCCACAUUGCUGGGAACCGUCUACAGUGGCUCUACACACACGGCAUUUGCGCUGAUCAAACAAGAGGGGCCUCUCCGUUCAGCUGGCGUGUUGGAAAGCACCGUGAGCAUUGUGGGACGAUCUGGAGAAGAGAGAGUCACCAUGGAAGUUAAACCAGCCCCCCUCCCAAACCUCACGCCCACACAAAGCUACGAGUUAGCCUCGAUCCUAGAUCGAGUGGCUACCUGGUCAAAGCUACAGGAGAUGGAGAUAAAAUUAGCUUCUAGUUCGAGAAAAAACAGCCAAAACGACAGCGAUAAAACACAAGAACCAGAACCAAAGAGGAUUAAACUGAAUGGAAGCUUCCUUAACGGGAAAAUGGUUGACUCUGAACUUUGUAAUGAUUUGCUUGAAUUAAGCUGCUCGUCUGGUAUUCCAUGUGGUCUAACGUGCUUCAGGGGGUGUGGUCUAGUACAGCAACUCCUCCCACACAAGCCGCCUACAACCACCUCGCACUCUGCACACACCUUCACUGCUAAGAAGACCUCCUCUUAUAGUCAGAAACGUUUGGACCAGUUGCAAAAGAUGCAGAGCAGAAACCGCAAGAGACAAGUUGGGCCACUCACCACCUCAUCUCAACCAACCACAAUGUGCAGUGUGGCCAUUAAUACCUUCACCACUCUUGGCACCACUCUCAAGACCAUGGCUAGCUCUAUCGGCCUGGUUCUCCCUGAUCCCAUCGAAGGCCACCGGAUAGACGACCACCUACACUACCACAGCCAGAAGAAAACCACACUGCAUUGGGACGAUGCUAAGGGAAAGCUUGUUUACCCCUCCUUUUAUCGUACGAGCAAAGAGCCUGUUACUAAUGGAACUAAAAUCCCCUCUAAUGGACACCGGACCACCCCCUCUUCCGAGAGCUUAAGCGAUGAUGAAGACUUUAUUUCCGACACAGACCCGGAUUGGGAUGACCUCCAAAGACCCUCGGAGCUCCUCCAACUCAUUCAAAUGCAGUUGUACAGUGGGGCGUGGCCUAUGGUGAGAGCAUUCUCGUAUGCUGUCGGAGUACCUCUAGACGAAGUCCGAAAACUAAUGGAGAAAGAAACGAAAUCAGCCGUGAUAGGAUCAGAAGAAGAGCGUAAGAAAUCAAAUGUAUGGACUACAGCUUUGGCCGUUUCAUGUCUGGAAGAAUAUUUCCCUCAAUUCAGAGCUGAAUGGGAAGUGGUUGGGAUGAAAGGACAGCAGUGGAUCGAGGCUAAUCUGUGCGAAGAAACAGAUAUGAGUGCUCAGGAGGUCUAUGAAACAUCCCGACACUUACUGGCCAGAUGGCACUAACUAAACUACACUGACAAUUCAUAUUACAAGCUGCUUUUCCCCUGCAUUUAUUCAUAAAUUGUGUUGUAUUCAUUAAUUUACAUGCUAUUUAUUCGAAGACAUACUAUAUACAGCUGGAUGUAAGGCCACUGCAACUUUGACUGUAAUGAGCAUGAGGGAAUACGGGAAACUAGAGUCAACGUUGCAGUGGCCUUACAUCCAGCUUCGUACAUGUAUUUAUAUGCACGCUCAGUGAUAUCGUACAUCCUCACAGGUAGUGGAGUUGGAGAACACUGUGCCUCAUAAAUUGUCGUCAUCGUUACCCACGGCAACCAGGAGACUAACGAGACCAGCACACAAGGAAAGAAUCAAGUAACUACAAAAUCCGUGGAGGGGUCAUGUCGACCACCCCCUGACUAUAGAGACCAGCUGAGCAUUGAGGCCCGUUUACUUAAUCUUCUUACACCACAACGUUCCAAUUAGCAGCCGCAGAAUCUGUACCACGUUGCCAUUUGCCAUUUGUUCUCCAGGUGGUGUACAGUUUGGAUUCAUGAGAACGACGCUAAAUAUGGUCUGCACAGAACUGGCAGUAUACAGUCAAGAUAUCAAGAUGACCAGUUGCAUGAGAAUUAGAGCCUGAGGAGCUUAGGAUAAUAUCAAAGAACAUGCAGGAACAAAAAGUGAACGACCUCGUGGUAAGUGCUUCAGAUAUAGCUAGUGUACAUUUUAGAGAGUUCCCGUAGUUACUCUCCUACACAUGCAUGUACACCUUCCCUCUAUCACAUUGUGCCUUUAAGUGCCUAAUAUACCAUGGAGCAUGUGUGCAUACUUACCUGUAUCUAUAUAGGAGAGUCAUACAAUAUUAAAGCCCGGCCCCGCAGUCCAGUUUAUUCUCAUAUACGGGGUCCGUGUACUGGGUCACUGUGUCCUGAAUACAUUGAGAUGCAACCUAGUGCUUAAAACAUAGCUACCGGUUGCAUCUCAACUUUAAACGUACAGUGUGAGUCAGCUCCGGGUAUCUAAUAUUUGAACUAGUAUACAGGUCGUCCUCAAGCUCGCUGACAGUGUCCAUGAGUCCAAGCAGCUCCAUUUCUAUUCACAAGUUAUGAUCAGACAAACACACAAGAGGACUCUCAAGCUGACUCUCAAGCUGAAGAGCUGUUCCGCAGACUGGAGAAGCACCCUGUCCUGCUCAAAGAGACAUCUCAUUCUCAAGCACACCUGUCCAGCAACAUUUUCUCCAUACAACGCCUUCUCAUGGAUCUGACCAAUCAGGUUGCGUAACACCAGGUGGAGGUAGCAAGAGUAUGGCCGCCCAGAUUGAGAAUGACGGCGUGGCAGGAUAUCAAUACUGGAGACUGCUGCCAG